UACGAAGGGGGCUAGCGUUGCUCGGAAUCACUGGGCGUAAAGCGCACGUAGGCGGAUUGUUAAGUCGGGGGUGAAAUCCUGGAGCUCAACUCCAGAACUGCCUUCGAUACUGGCGAUCUUGAGUCCGGGAGAGGUGAGUGGAACUCCUGGUGUAGCGGUGAAAUGCGUAGAGAUCAGGAGGAACACCCAUGGCGAAGGCAGCUCUCUGGUCGACCUCUGACGCUGAGACGCGAAAGCGUGGGGAGCGAACGGG
rnacentral:rRNA from 1 species